AUCCAAUUGACGCGUUCGAAAUAGGACGAAACGCGCGUCUUGGAU
rnacentral:hammerhead_ribozyme from 1 species